rnacentral:rRNA from 1 species
UCCGGAGGGUGCGAUCGUUAAUCGGAAUUACUGGGCGUAAAGCGCACGUAGGCGGUCGGAUAAGUCGGAUGUGAAAGCCCUGGGCUUAACCUGGGAACUGCAUUCGAUACUGUCUGGCUAGAGUAUGGGAGAGGGAAGCAGAAUUUCCGGUGUAGCGGUGAAAUGCGUAGAUAUCGGAAGGAAUACCAAUGGCGAAGGCAGCUUCCUGGCCCAAUACUGACGCUCAGGUGCGAAAGCGUGGGGAUAAAACAGG